rnacentral:lncRNA from 1 species
CUUUUAUACAUGAGGUGUUCUGGAGUGGGUAGCAACUGGGCCAGUGGCCCUUGGCCAUGGGCCUGGAACAAAGGCCACUAGGCCACAUUCUGAAGUGGAGACCUGUAUCUACAGCCUCUCACGGGCUCUUCUGGAGCCAGGAAUCCUGUUGGUGCUCACUAAAAUGUUCCCUUGUUCUCAUGAAAAAUAGCUCCAAGAAGUGAUAAAUGUAGACUUCAGAUGUUUUCCCAGCUACCCAGAAGUGAGGCUUGACCUUGAGUCUGUGGAUAUUUCUAGAUUGUGUAAUGCAAUUCCACCUGGAAUUUGUAUAGUCAUUUUUUCCUUUUCUUUUUGAAACCCUGUCACAUCAACCCAUUCAGUGCCAGCAGCUUUUCUGCAGGGUGGAUCAGCCAAAGGCUUCUUUUCCUAUUUUCUGGAUGGUGAACUGAGGCCUCGUGAAGUAAAGGACUGGAUGGAGACCACUCAGCAAGUCCAAAAAGCCUGGGAACCAUGGAAUAGUCCCUAUAGACAGCCCCCGAUCCCCAAGGAACCAUGUCUCUUAGCGAUGGAUGGGGUCUAAUUUUUGGAUAAUUCUUUGUCUCAUCUAGGUAGUUGGUGCCUGGAAUAAAAGUGUGAGCUCUAAACAGAGAGCCUGGCCGCCUGGAGACACCAUAUAGGGCUGCACCUUUGAGCUGCUCAUUAGCAUAACCACAGUUUGGUCCACAGCCCUCUGCUGCAGGGAACCUGGCAGCUUCCACAGUCUGAUAGCUUGAGUCAUGCAAAUUGCUAGAUUUGGUUUUAAUUUAUUUGCAGAUGAAUAUCCUUCCCCAGAGGCAGGAGGAGGGGGGAGCACAUAGUCUCUUUUUAAUUAUUUGGGGCAUUAUUUCCAAAGCCCUCUGAGCCCAGGCUGAGACUGAGGGUGAUUUUGAUUCUUCAGUGAAUCCCUUCCCAACUGCUCUUUCUCAAUAACCUGCCCAAUAAAUCGUCCAGGGCCCUGACUGAGCCCAACAGCCUCCUCCUGCCCACCAAUGCACCUCUCUCCCCCUUUCUCUUAUGGCCCUCUGACUCCAGCCUCAGCUAGCAGAGCUAUGGUCAGCCCCACUGCACACAGUCCCAGGUGGGGCAGAGGACAGGGGCUGGCAGGCAGGCCCUGUCGAGUAGAAGCUUCCUGAUUGCGCAUGUCAGCCAGUGUGGAAGGUUAGGUCAGCUCAUAUCAUUCCUCUGUUCAAGCCCCUUCAAUGGCUCCCGCCUCACUCAGAGUAAGAGCUGUGGGCCUUAUAAUGGCCUACAGGGCCAUCUCUUACACACACCGCUCUCUCCUUUCUUCACUUUGCUCCCAGGAACCGGCCUCCUUACUGUUUCUAGAACCUGCCAGAUACUCGUCCAUCUCAAGGCCCUUGCACUGGCUAUGGCCCCUGCUCUGAAGGCACUUUACCAGAGACCUGCUUAGCUCACUCUUGCUUCCUGCCUCAAAUGCCACCUCAUCGAAACCCUCCUUGGUCAUGCUGGUGCACCCCAACAUGUCCCACUGUACCCCGAAGCAUUUCCCUUGCAGAAGGACAGCUGCCUUGCAGGAAGAGUCUUCUAUCUCCCCCUCCCCCAGCUGGGACAGCUCACAGCCACUGGCCGAGGGACACUGUUGCGGAGGUGUUGUGAGGUGGGUUCUGCUCUGUUGAUUCUCGUCAGUGUGAGUAAGUUGGCAUUCUAAUGAUGACUGAUGUGAAUAUGUUUUGACAGCACUAACUCCAUGUUGAGCUUGUAACACCAGCUGUAACUGAGCCAAAUGGCAGGCCAAUAGUCACCUGGACAACUGGCUGACUGAUGGAUUUGUUGACAACUGCCCGUCAAUAUGCAAAUCGGAUGGUUGGUGUCUGGGCUGUCCCUCCAAAACUGACAUCAGGAAGCUGAGAUAAUGUACCUACUGGGACCAUAAAUAAAUACAAGUGUCUUCAGCUUGCCAUUUGACAUACAGCUCACUGUGACUCCACUCUGGGAGUGUUCCCUCUGCAAAACCAAUGGCCCCUGUCCCAGUGGAUAGUUCUUUGAGUGUAUCCGUGGCAGCUUGCUAGCAUCCUGGACCCGUGUGAAUGUCCCCUUGAAAGGACUGGUCCCCUGGACCCUUUGGACAAGUGGCAUGGUGUCUGGUUCCUUCCUAGCACUCUACACUUGAGUGAUUUUUUUAAACCUCUUUUUGCCUAUAUUUUCAUAAACUCCUUGUGCCUCAUUCCUUUUUUCCAUGCAUCGCAAUAAACCAU